GAAACGACUGCUAAGACUGGAUAGGAAACAAAAAGGCAUCUUUUUGUUUUUAAAAGACCUUCUUAGAAAGGUAUGCUUAAAGAGGGGCUUGCGCCACAUUAGUUAGUUGGUAGAGUAAAAGCCUACCAAGACGAUGAUGUGUAGCUGGACUGAGAGGUUGAACAGCCACAUUGGGACUGAGACACGGCCCAAACUCCUACGGGAGGCAGCAGUAGGGAAUUUUCGGCAAUGGAGGAAACUCUGACCGAGCAACGCCGCGUGAACGAUGAAGUAUUUCGGUAUGUAAAGUUCUUUUAUUGAAGAAGAAAAAGUAGUGGAAAAACUAUAUUGACGUUAUUCAAUGAAUAAGCCCCGGCUAACUAUGUGCCAGCAGCCGCGGUAAGACAUAGGGGGCGAGCGUUAUCCGGAAUUAUUGGGCGUAAAGGGUGCGUAGGCUGUUAGAUAAGUCUAUAAUUUAAUUUCAGUGCUUAACGCUGUCUUGUUAUAGAAACUGUCUUGACUAGAGUGAGAUAGAGGCAAGCGGAAUUCCAUGUGUAGCGGUAAAAUGUGUAAAUAUAUGGAGGAACACCAGAAGCGUAGGCGGCUUGCUGGGUCUUUACUGACGCUGAGGCACGAAAGCGUGGGUAGCAAACAGGAUUAGAUACCCUGGUAGUCCACGCCGUAAACGAUGAGUACUAAGUGUCGGGGUAAAACUCGGUACUGAAGUUAACACAUUAAGUACUCCGCCUGAGUAGUACGUACGCAAGUAUGAAACUUAAAGGAAUUGACGGGACUCCGCACAAGCGGUGGAUCAUGUUGUUUAAUUCGAAGAUACACGAAAAAUCUUACCAGGUCUUGACAUACUCUGCAAAGCUAUAGAAAUAUAGUGGAGGUUAUCAGGAAUACAGGUGGUGCAUGGUUGUCGUCAGUUCGUGUCGUGAGAUGUUAGGUUAAGUCCUAAAACGAGCGCAACCCUUGUCGUUAAUUGCCAGCACGUAAUGGUGGGGACUUUAACAAGACUGCCAAUUAAACAUUGGAGGAAGGUGAGGAUUACGUCAAAUCAUCAUGCCCCUUAUGAUCUGGGCUACAAACGUGAUACAAUGGCUGUGACAAAGAGUAGCUGAAACGCGAGUUUUUAGCCAAUCUCAAAAAAGCAGUCUCAGUUCGGAUUGAAGUCUGUAACUCGACUUCAUGAAGUUGGAAUCGCUAGUAAUCGCGAAUCAGCAUGUCGCGGUGAAUACGUUCUCGGGGUUUGUACACGCCGCCCGUCAAA
rnacentral:rRNA from 2 species